CCUUGGGGCGGGGUGAGAUCCCCCACCGGCGGUAAAGCCCGCGAAUCCGCAAAAAGCGGAUUGAUCCGGUCAGAUACCGGAGCCGACGGUUAAAGUCCGGAUGAAAAAGGU
rnacentral:ncRNA from 1 species